CCUCGAGUCAGCCGUCUCCGCGCGCCUACAGCUCGCGCUCGCCGUCCUCCUCCGCUGAUAUCUCCUCCCGUACAUGGAUAGUUGUCGAGCUCAGUCGCCGCUUCCAGGGGAGGGAAGAGCAAGCAGCAAACCAGGUGAGGAACCAAAGAGCAGGCAGAAGAAAACAUAAAUCAGUGAACUACGUUUCAAGGAUUGUAAUUUGAAGCAUGAAUUAGGAGAUGACCAUCCCAACUGGAUUUGUGCAUCUUCCAGCAACCUAGUAAUGCUGAUGGGCCAUACACCAUGCCAAUCUCUAUCAGGCAUGCCAUGCAACUCCAAGUUAAGGCAGAGAUGUUGAUUUUGUGCGAGGACAUGACCAGUGACCACCGGCCUAAAAUAUUCAAGAAGAUCGAGGAGAUUCCGAAUGUGAAGGAAAGGUGGUUCAAUUGGACAACACUGAGGGGAAUUAGCUUCAUCUAUCAUUCAUUCAGC